AUCUCAAUAAGAUCCCUAUAAGAUCCUUAUCCUCUAUAAAUUAGAACUCACACAAGCAGAAGCAGGCAGGACUUCAUCUUCUCUAAAUAAAUCAAACAAACAACACCCCUCAGCUUCCCUCCUUUCUCUCUCGAUUACAGUCACAGCCAAACAUCAUCACUCUCACACCCCUCCCCUUCUCUCGAUGCUCUGACCCACGAUGGAACCGACACCGGCGUUGCUGGCAAUACCUACCUACAACACCUCUUCACCCAACCCUCUCGGUUCUCCCUAUUUCAUGACUGACCGGCGGCGACGUUGGACGACGGAGCCGUCACGACGAUGAUCCAGAACCACCGAUAUCAGUGGUGGUGGUGGUGGUGUUUUGACGGUAAUGGUGGUGGUGUCACGGCGUACGGCGGCGAGAAACAAAAGAAACAGUGAGAGAGACGGCAUGGUCGGAGGGAUUCCAGCGAUGGUCGACGUCGGAGCUUCGAUGAUGGAGGUGGUCCGGCAGAACCACGCAAGCGAUGGCGAUGGUUUGGUUCAGAUUCAUGUUCGGGUCAGGCUCGUUCAACCCAAUUUCUGUUCGUUUCAUUUUUGGCACGGGUCUCGAGGAACGAGUAACUUGGUCUCAGUUCGGUCUGUCCUGAUUGCGGCUUCUACUCGGGUUAAGACUCGGGUCUAGUAACAGAGACGAGGUUGCUGUUGGUUUGGAUUCACAAGAAAAUCCAUAUAUUUUUGGUCCGAGCUCGGGUUACAAUGUUUCAUAUUUAUGUUUCGACGCGAUUCACAUUUUUGGUUCAACUCAGUGUAUCUCAGCUAGACUCAGUCCAACUCGGUCAACCGAGUCAACUCAGUGGGUCAACUCAGUCAACGUAUCGACACGCGAAGAUUGGAAUAUUGUAGAAUAAACGCUAGAAAGACUCAUCUUGGAAACGACGUCACGAAGUCGUAUAUAGCUAGCUUUGCACAGGAAUAUUCAGGUUGAAUUAGAGCUAGGUUUGUCGAUCCUAAGCAAGAUUCAAGAAUCAACAUUUGAGGGGGAGUGCAUGUUGUUGCUGAUGAAUUUGAAGACGUCAACAUCCAAGAUAAGGAGUUUGUUGAAGAUGAAAGAGAAGAUAUAGAGAUUGAGGAUGCUUACAUGGUCAAAUACUUCGAAGAAAAGCCAAGAGACUGAUAAAGACUGAAGAUGCGAAGACUCGACACUGAAGACUCCGUCAACAUCCGAGGGGUAGUUUGUUGGUGCACCUGUCUGUCAUCUACGUCUUGUAUCGAGUCUAGAGUAGAAUAGGCUAGAACAGGGCACAUAAUUCCAGAUAUUGUUUUUAGGAAGUGAUUCCGCUCCAAAUGACAUCAUGUCAUUUGGAGCGAAACCCCUAUAUUCUGAUUCCGCCCGAGAGUGGUUUAGGUCCUGAUUUCGCUCAUAAUGAAAGGUGGUGAUUCUGCUCGUGCAUGUUCGAGCGGAAUUAGAACAACUGUAAAUAGGUGGUCAUUAGGAGCGAAAUCACAUAGUUGUUAGGGGUGAUUGUCUUCCGGUGAGCCACGAAGUGCUGCCGAAGUGUUGAGUCGAUUGUAAACGUCAUCCAGAUCAAUAGAAUCAACAGUUGAAAGUGAAUACUCGGUGAAUUGAACCUGAUUUGUCUGUUUCCGCCGUUCUAAUCAGGAAUAGUUCUUCUGAUAGACUCAAUUGGGUCCGAAUUCGAUCCUACAAAGACAGUGAUCGCUUCCUUUGAAAGAAAGAGGCAUUUGUAUAAGGUGUUCACUACUUUUGCAUAGUGAGACAAUGGUGUAUCGAUGAUUCCUACCAUUCCGGGAAACGACUAGUGGAACAACUCUCGAUCAGAGGAUCGGGGAGAUGAUGUAGGGGGAUUAGUUAACAUCAUUGGAACCUCUAUAAAUUUGUUUUGUUAUUCCUUUUCUUCAACUGUUUACUUACUUGCUAUUAGACUCUUACUAAUUA